AUUGCUUGGUUGGAUUGGUCAGUUGGUUAGUUGAUGAGUCGGUUGGUUGUUUGGGAUGGGCGGGUUGGUCGCUUGCUCUCAGUUCGAUCGGUUGGUGUGUGGUUUAGUUGGUAUUCUUCUGAACGUUUUUAACAUAGUUUGUAUCUAUAGUGACAUCGUUUAAUUUCACAGCAAGGGACAUUGAGGGGAAAGAGUGGAUGCCCUGUGCCACUACUCAGUGAGAGGGACUGGAGGGACCGUGAUAAGAUGAUUUUCUGAAUGACCUGUCGUCCAUUAGAUAUUUUUUUAAAUUCCUUUCAACUGCAUGUCGAGGAAUGGAUUUGCGCUUUAAUACAAUCAGUUUAGAAGAUCUAUCUAAAAGACGUAAGAAAUGAGCUACACAUGUUCAUUAUAGUAUUAUAGUUCAAGAAGAAGACGUUUACAGACAAGAAUGUAUGAUUUUUUCUGUUUUACGAAUAAAACUGCUGGCUGUGAAACAUUUUGUAUAGUUUUGAAAUAAAAUAUUUUGUUGUUAUCGCA